GACGAACGCUGGCGGCGUGCUUAACACAUGCAAGUCGAACGGAAAGGCCCUGCCUUUGUGGGGUGCUCGAGUGGCGAACGGGUGAGCAACACGUGAGUAACCUGCCCCUGACUUUGGGAUAACUUCAGGAAACUGGGGCUAAUACCGGAUAGGAGCUCCUGCUGCAUGGUGGGGGUCGGAAAGUUUCGGCGGUUGGGGAUGGACUCGCGGCCUAUGAGCUUGUUGGUGGGGUAGUGGCAUACCAAGGCUUUGACGGGUAGCCGGCCUGAGAGGGGGACCAGACACAUUAGGACUGAGAUACGGCCCAGACUCAUACGGGAGGCAACAGUGGGGAAUAUUGCACAGUGGGCGGAAGCCUGCUACAACAACGCCGCGUGCGGGGAGACGGCCUUCGGGUUGUAAGCCAAUAUCGCCUGUGACGAGGCGUGAGUGACGGUAAUGGGUGAAGAAGCACCGGCUAACUACGUG
rnacentral:rRNA from 1 species